CUUCACUAAAAGCCUGAGUCUGUGUACCGCUAACUCGGGGUUAGGACUAAUAUUUCGGAAGACUGAGUCGUUUCUAGCCUUCCAUAUAAUCCACCAGCAGCCUAUAAGGGCAGGAAGGCAGUUUCGCUUUUUUAUGUGGUCUCUUCUAACCAUCCACCUAUCCCAUACGAAAUUCACGUCGUCCCCCAGAUCAUGGGCCUGAGUAUCGUCCUCCCCUGACACUAUGAUAAACUUAACGAAUACGCACUG
rnacentral:lncRNA from 1 species